CCAACAGGGAUUGCCCCAGUAACGGCGAGUGAAGCGGCAGGAGCUCAAAUUUGAAAUCUGGGGUCCCCGACCUCCGAGUUGUAAUUUGGAGAGGCAUCUUCGGGGGGGAGCGCCGGCCCAUGUUCCUUGGAACAGGACGUCACAGAGGGUGAGAAUCCCGUGCCAGGCCGGCUCCCUCCUCCCGGGUGAAGCGCCUUCGACGAGUCGAGUUGUUUGGGAAUGCAGCUCCAAGUGGGUGGUAAGUUUCAUCUAAAGCUAAAUACCGGCGGGAGACCGAUAGCGCACAAGUAGAGUGAUCGAAAGAUGAAAAGCACUUUGAAAAUAGAGUCAAAAAGUACGUGAAAUUGUUGAAAGGGAAGCGCUUGAGACCAGACUCAGGCCCGGGCAAACACCGCGCCCCCAGGGGCCGUGCAAUUGCCUGGGGCUGGGCCAGCAUCAGUCGGCGUGGCGGGACAAAGGCGCGGGGAAUGUGGCUCCCCUCGGGGAGUGUUACCAGCCCCGCGCUCAAUGCCGCCGACGCCGACUGAGGACCGCGCCUCGGCUAGGAUGCUGGCUUAAUGGCCUUCAGCGACCCGUCUUGAAACACGGACCAAGGAGUCUAACAUCUAUGCGAGUGUUUGGGUGCCAAACCCUUGCGCGGAAUGAAAGUGAGCGGAGGUGGGAACCCCCCAGCGGGGCGCACCAUCGACCGAUCCUGAUGUCUUCGGAUGGAUUUGAGUAGGAGCAUAGCUGUUGGGACCCGAAAGAUGGUGAACUAUGCCUGAAUAGGGUGAAGCCAGAGGAAACUCUGGUGGAGGCUCGCAGCGGUUCUGACGUGCAAAUCGAUCGUCAAAUUUGGGUAUAGGGGCGAAAGACUAAUCGAACCAUC
rnacentral:rRNA from 1 species